AGCAGCCGCGGUAAUUCCAGCUCCAAUAGCGUAUAUUAAAGUUGUUGCAGUUAAAAAGCUCGUAGUUGAAUUUCGGGGUUAGUAGAUUGGUCAUGCCUCUGGUAUGCACUGGUCUUACUGAUUCCUCCUUCCUGAUGAACCGUAACGCCAUUAAUUUGGUGUUGCGGGGAAACUGGACUGUUACUUUGAAAAAUUAGAGUGUUUAAAGCAGGCUAACGCUUGAAUACAUUAGCAUGGAAUAAUGAAAUAGGACGUUCGAUCUUAUUUUGUUGGUUUCUAGGAUUGACGUAAUGAUUAAUAGGGAUAGUUGGGGGCAUUAGUAUUCAAUUGUCAGAGGUGAAAUUCUUGGAUUUAUUGAAGACUAACUACUGCGAAAGCAUUUGCCAAGGAUGUUUCAUUAAUCAAGAACGAAAGUUAGGGGAUCGAAGACGAUCAGAUACCGUCGUAGUCUUAACCAUAAACUAUGCCGACUAGGGAUCGGAUGAUGUUAAUUUUUUAAUGACUCAUUCGGCGCCUUAAC
rnacentral:rRNA from 1 species